rnacentral:misc_RNA from 1 species
AACGCACAUUGCGCCCUGUGGUAUUCCGCAGGGCAUGCCUGUUCGAGCGUCAGUACAACACUCAAGCUCAGCUUGGUCUUGGAUCCAGCGGGCAACCGCGGGUCUUAAAAUCAGUGGCGGCGCCAUCUGGCUCUCAGCGUAGUAAUACUCCUCGCUCGUGAGUCCCGGUGGAUGCUGGCCAGCAACCCCCCAACUUCUAAGUUUGACCUCGGAUCAGGUAGGGAUACCCGCUGAACUUAA